UCCCUGAUAGCUCAGUUGGUAAAGUAUCUGCCUGUAGUGCAGGAGACCUGGGUUCAAUCCCUAGGUAGGGAA
rnacentral:tRNA from 1 species